UUAGUUUAUAUAUUGUAUGGUCUGGGGAAUCUAAGCUUUUGAGUGAGAAAGUUUGGGAAGAAAUGCAUUUUAGAAAAAAUUCUUACAUAUUGAUUUACCUAAUGUUAUUUGUAAUUGCCAGAGCACCUCGGAAUUCUCAGAGCCCUCUUUUCUUCUAUAGUUCAGAAUAAAACCAUUCAAAUUAAAAAUAUAGUUUUGUAUAUCUGCCUGAGUGCAUUGCAAAGGAUUGUGUAGUUUGGUCAUAUAUGGAGGAGAUGGUAGAGCUGACAGUCAAAAGAGACCGAGUUUCUCAUCGUUAACUUGUGCAAAGUUGAGUAAGUCAAUGAAGUCUUAAGUAAUAACUGCAGAAUUAAAUUGGGAAAGACUGUAGCCUCAAGAUUUAAGAAACAAAUCAUCAGUCUUACAGAUAACUUCAAGACUAUACUGAUUAUUCACUGGCUACUAGAUAGGUAUAUUUUAAAGCCAAGAAUCAGAAAUUUAAAAAAUUAAAGAAUCAGUGCUGUCAGCUAUAUUUUGGCAGGAAUUUUAAAGAGAUAUAUGUCAUUUUUUUCAUUAAAAAACUUAAGAUUAUAUGUAGCAGAAUUCACCUUUAUAGAGUACAUUUUGUGAAUUUUGACAAACAUACACUUGUGUAACUCCCACACAAUUAAAAUGCAGAGAGAGCAGUUCCAUCAAUACAAAAAAUUCCCUUGUCACUUUAUAGUCAGCCCCUUACUUGAUCCCAAGCUUUUGGCAACCAGUGGCAUGUUUUCUGUCUCCAUAGUUUUGUAUUUUCCAGAAUGUUGUGUAAAUGGAAUUGUAUAUCUUUAAUGAUAAAAGAUUUUGAGCAUCUUUUUUGCCAUCCUUAUAUCUUUGGUGAAAUAUUCUUCAAAUUAUUUUGUUGUUUUUUUGGCACUGAGUUUGGAGAUUCUGGAUGAAAGUUCUUUAUCAUAGAUGUGAUUUGCAAAUAUUUUCUCAUAGUUUAUGGCUUGUUUUUUAUUCUCUUACAUGUCUUUGAAGAGCAGAAGUUUGAAUGUUGAUGAAGUUGAGCUUAUUGAUUUUUACAUUAUUUUAUUUUAUGGAUCAUGCUUUUGAUGUUAUGUCUAAGAAAUUCUUUGCAAAACCAAAAAUCACAAAGAUUUUUUUCCAUAUUUACUUAUAGAAGUGUUAAAAUUGUAGGUUUACAUUUAGAUCUGUGAUUCAUUUUGUUAGGUUUUGUAUAUGGUAUGAGUUAUGGAUACAGUUUUUGUUGUUGCGAAUGAAUUUCCACUUAUUUCGGCACCAUUUUUUGGAAAAGCUCUCUUUCAUAGAAUUUCCUUUAUACCUUUCUUGAAAAUCAAUUGUUCAUAUAAGUGCGAGUCUGUUUCUGGACUCGUACUGCAUUUCAUUCAUCUAUGUAUUUACCCUUUCUCCAAUAUGACACUUGCCUGAUUAUUGUAGCUUUAUAGUAAACUUGAAGUCAGGUAGUGUGAGUUCUCCACCUUUGUCCCUUUUCAGAGUUAUUUUGGCGAUUCCAGUUCCUAUGCCUCUUCCUAUCCAUUUUAGAAUUACCUUCUCAUUUUCUGUAGGAAGUCCUUCUGGAUUGAUUCUGAUUUAAUUCUGAAGAUCAUUUUGGGGAGAAUUGACAUCUUAAAUAUUGAGGCAUCUCAUUUAUGACCUGUCUUUAGAUUUUUGAUGUCAUUUAUCAAUGUAUUUUAGUUUUCAGCAUAGAUUCUACACAUACUGUGUUAGAUUUAUGACUAAGCAUUUCAUGUUUUUGGGUGCUAAUGUAAAUGAUACUCCUCCAUUUUCAGUUUUUUUUUUUCACUGAUAGCAUAUAGAACUGCUUGUAUCCUUAUGACCUUGCUAAACUUACUUAGUUCCAGUAGCUUUGUUAUAGAUUCUAUGAGAUUUCUAUGCAGAAGAUUAUGUUGUCUACAGAUAAAGACAGUAU